UACGAAGGGGGCUAGCGUUGCUCGGAAUCACUGGGCGUAAAGGGCGCGUAGGCGGACUUUUAAGUCGGAGGUGAAAGCCCAGGGCUCAACCCUGGAAUUGCCUUCGAUACUGGGAGUCUUGAGUUCGGAAGAGGUUGGUGGAACUGCGAGUGUAGAGGUGAAAUUCGUAGAUAUUCGCAAGAACACCAGUGGCGAAGGCGGCCAACUGGUCCGAUACUGACGCUGAGGCGCGAAAGCGUGGGGAGCAAACAGG
rnacentral:rRNA from 1 species